UACGUAGGGGGCGAGCGUUGUCCGAAGUUACUGGGCGUAAAGAGCGCGUAGGCGGGUUCUUAAGUGAGGGGUGAAAGGUUUGGGCUCAACCCAAACACUGCCUUUCAUACUGGGAGCCUUGAGUGCGGGAGAGGCGAGUGGAAUGGUCGGUGUAGCGGUGAAAUGCGUAGAUAUCGAUCGGAACACCCAUGGCGAGGGCAGCUCGCUGGCCUGCAACUGACGCUGAGGCGCGAAAGCGUGGGGAGCAAACAGG
rnacentral:rRNA from 1 species